rnacentral:rRNA from 1 species
AACGAACGCUGGCGGCGUGCUUAACACAUGCAAGUCGAGCGGUAAGGCCCUUUCGGGGGUACACGAGCGGCGAACGGGUGAGUAACACGUGGGUGACCUGCCCUCCACUCUGGGAUAAGCCCGGGAAACUGGGUCUAAUACCGGAUAGGACCUCUCAACGCAUGUUGGGUGGUGGAAAGUUUUUUCGGUGGGGGAUGGGCCCGCGGCCUAUCAGCUUGUUGGUGGGGUGAUGGCCUACCAAGGCGGUGACGGGUAGCCGGCCUGAGAGGGCGACCGGCCACACUGGGACUGAGACACGGCCCAGACUCCUACGGGAGGCAGCAGUGGGGAAUAUUGCGCAAUGGGCGGAAGCCUGACGCAGCGACGCCGCGUGGGGGAUGACGGCCUUCGGGUUGUAAACCUCUUUCGCCAGGGACGAAGCUUUUGUGACGGUACCUGGAGAAGAAGCACCGGCCAACUACGUGCCAGCCGCCGCGGUAACAC